CAAAUAUAUUGCUCAAAAUCAAUUGAAGUCGAGUUUAGCUGUUACAAGCUUGUUAUCAUAACCUUUUGCACCUUACGACCUUUGUUCAUAUAAAAUAUUUAAUUUCAAGUAUCGCAAUAAAAUAAAAUUGUUACCAUUCUACAUGCAUACAUAAAUAUACAUAAAUACACCCGAAAAUUUGCAUUUUCACAAUUUGUCGCAAAAUUGAUUUUUUCCAGCGUAAUUACAUUUUUUCAUAGCCCAUAUUCAAUGAAUUUUUGGUAUGUACUCGUUUUCCUCCUUUUGCUUAUUCAGCUAUUUUUGCAAUUAAAUAUUUUAUUUACUUUCGUCAUGUUUCAGUUUUUGUUUUAUUACGCUUAAACAAUUUCAAUAGCGCAGUGUCAGCAAUAUGUACAGAUACAGAUACAUACAUACAUAUUUAUUAUACAUAUGUACAUAUGUAUAUACAUUCUUGUGGAGUAAAUAACAAAUUUGCAAUGACGUAAAUUGCCUCAUUUAUAUUUAUUUACUUCUGCUUAUAUUUUCACUUAUAUGCAUCUGUGUGUGUGUGUGUGUAUUGGUGUGCGCACAUAAAAAAAUGUACAAAGCUAACAUUGAGAAUAUUAAAAUAAAUAGGAGUAUAAGUAUGUAGGUAUGUAUAUGUGCGCAGCCAUUAAUAGAAAUUAGGGUCAUAUGGAAAGAUAUUGGGAGUUAUAUUUCGACUAAACAUGUUUUGUGUGUGUAUUUUUUUUAUGAAAAUUUGGUAAUCUAGUGUGUAUUUGGGUCAGAGCUAGUUAUAUGAGAUUUCCGUUUCAAUUUGUUAAAAUUCAUUCACGAAGUUCAAAUCCUCGAUUUUAUCGAAUAUAUAGUUCAAUACCUUCUAAGAAGUGAUUUAAGAAACUCUGUGUCUGAAGUCCUGGAGAGCCUUGCAGAAUAUAGAUCAGAUUUUAUUGCUUUGACAAUUGCUUUGACAGUACUCUCCUUGCUCUUUAACGCUAUUCUCAGUUUCGGGUACUAUCCAAAUUCAUGGAAAAAGUCGCAGAUCAUCAUGAUAGAGAAACCAGGUAAAGACUUGACACAGCCGUCUUCAUACAGACCAAUCAGUCUUCUACCCUGUCUUUCUAAAAUAUUUGAAAAAGUGUUACUAUCAAAGAUGGCUCCUUUCCUCCAUAAAAAUAAUGUAAUACCAACGCACCAAUUCGGUUUUCGUGCAAAACAUGGCACUGUAGAACAAGUAAAUAGAAUUACUAACGAAAUCAGAAGGGCGUUCGAGUUUAGAGAGUACUGUUCUGCUAUAUUUCUAGAUGUGGCUCAGGCGUUCGAUAAAGUGUGGCAUGACGGGCUUUUAUAUAAGAUUAAAAAAAAGCUUACCUCUCGAAAAGCAUAAAAGUUUACUGUCAAAGUAGGAGACUUCAUUUCUGAAGAACGACCAAUAAGAGCUGGUGUACCUCAGGGCAGUGUUUUAGGGCCAACUCUAUACAUAAUAUAUACAGCAGACCUUCCAACAGCUAGUAAUAUUUUGACAUCAACUUUUACGGAUGACACAGCUUUAGUGAGCCGAAACAAAUGCCCAAUUAUAGCAUCAAAAGUAUUAGGAGAGCAUUUGAUUUUUGUCGAAGAAUGGCUAGCAAACUGGCGUAUAAAUGUAAACGAACAGAAAUGCAAGCAUGUUACAUUUUCUCUAAGACCAAAAACGUGUCCGGCAGUUAAAAUGAACAAUAUUUUAGUACCUCAAGCGACUGAAGUAACAUAUCUUGGUAUUCACUUGGAUAGAAGGCUCACGUGGAGAAAACACAUAUCGAGCAAAAUAACCUGCAUGAAGAUAAGAGCAGCACAAUAAAUUGGCUUUUAAAUAAAAAUUCAAAACUUAGCCUAGACAACAAAGUUCUAUUAUACAACGCGGUCAUAAAGCCGAUUUGGAUGUACGGCAUCCAACUGUGGGGUACGACCUGUGCAACCAAUAUCGAUAUAAUUCAGAGAUUCCAAUCAAAAAUGCUUAGAACAAUCACGUGCUCACCAUGGUAUAUGCGUAAUGAAAAUAUCCAUAAAGAUCUUGGUAUCCUCAUGGUAAAGAAAGAAGUAGAGAACAGCAGAAAUAAAUAUUUAUCAAACUCCGCGAUCACCCAAACCCAUUGGCUAAUGCUUUAUUACAUUCUUGUAAUCAAUCACGUCUAAAAAGAAGAGAUAUGCCAGCUCACUGAGGAGCAACGUUUCACCAAAACAACUCAAUCAAUUGGUUGAGCUUGUCUAGUUUUAAUUAGAAUUAAGAUUUUAUAACUUAUUGUUAGGCUCCAAAGAGCAUAUUCAAUAAAUAAAGAAAUAUAUGAAAAAAAAGAUUUUAUUGCUGGAACUGAACUCAAGCUCUGAAAACAAUCGCUGGACAAAUAUUGUAUUCCUUCAAAGUCGUUCAAGUCACUCUUAAAAUGCUUUUUGAAAUAAAAAAUAUAUUGAAUUGAAAGAAUUUCACUUUCUGCUUAGGACAAUGCAAAGAUCUCAUGGUCUUAAUUACUCAGACUAGUCUUUAUAUUUCUUAAAAGAAACUUAAUAUAAUUAAAGUUUCUUCGGCGAGUAAUUUAGAAAUAUUCUACAGACAAUUUCAUUUAUAAAGUGUUUUUCAAUAAGAGCGCUACAAAAUCGAAAUCAAUGAAAUUUUUUAUUCCUGUGAAAGCAUGGCAUUCGAUGCCAUUAUGUAUGGAAAUCGAUUUCUUUUGCAUGGGCACGCUUGCAGAUGUCCAGACAAACACAAAUUUUCGACGGGUUUCAAGCAUAAAUCGACCGUUAUUCUGCUACUCACGUUCGAUAUUUGUACGAAGUUCAUCUAUCGUCGCUGACUUGUUAUCAUAGACCAUAGACUUGACGUAGCCCCACAGGAAAUAGUCUAACGGCUUCAAAUCGCACGACCGAAGCGUCGAAUUGACUGGCCCAUUUCGUGAGAUAAUACGAUAACCAAACUUGGUUUUAUAUAAAUCGGUUGUAACAUUCGCUGUGUGGCUUGUGGCGCCUGUUGGAAUCACAUAUUGUCCAUUGUCCAUGUCAUCCAAUUCGGGCAAAAAAUAUUCGGUUAUCAUUGAGCGGUAGCGAUUCCCAUUCACAGUAACGUGCCGGUCUUAACCAUCACGGAAGAAGUACGGCCCAAUGACGCUGCCCGACCCAUAAACCACACCAAAACGUAAUAUUUUUCGAGAUGCAAUGGUGACUCAUGGAUUACGUGUGGAUUGUUGCCUGACGUGUGGAUUAUUGACAAAGCCAUUCAGCCAGAAAUGAGCCUCAACAUAAAUUGAACGUAGCGCUAUUAAAGUUGAGGCUACUGACUCCGAAUUUCGAUAGUAAAUUUAAAUAAUUUCGACUCAUUGUUGGAUCGUCUAUCUUUCCAUGAUGAAAUGGCAAACCUUACUGAAGAGAAAUGUCAAACGAGCGGGAAAAAUAUGUCGUCGUUUGCUGUCCCGAUCGGUCAACUUUUGUGGCUACCUUAUUGAAAACCAUAUUUAUUAGGUUGAAUCAAGUUUCAUGAUCAAUUCGAGAGAUCUCCAUCCAUUUUAGUUAGUAGAUAUACCGGUCCUUUGUAAUGCCGAAGCUUCUAAGUAUGGAGAAAGAGACCCUUAUGUAUCACAGAAGUGUUAAGUGUCCAUCAUAAUUUUGUUGAGGCGUCUAUAAUCGAUUUCAGCCAAUUCGCCUCAUUCAUCGAAGAUAAGACCUUCAAGUUGUCUCAACCUCAGCUUAGUUGUAAAAGAGGAAUUAUUAUGGUGUGCUUUAAUAUUUUUAGUGACACUUUUCUCAUAAAGCUCUAUGUAUUACGAUAUAACGCCAUUUUGUUUUAUGAUUUUUCGCUCAUAUAAUCAUAUCUUGUAUAUGAAAAUAGUUCGUUGUUACAACUUUUUGUCACUUUGCUUAUAUUAUUAUUCUAACUACUUCAUAUCUUUAAUUGUUUUUUUCUUCUUUCUUUACAUCGCUGUUAUUCGCUACAUUUAAUUCAAACACAUUUCUGAUCUCUUGUAAAUUGUACAGUUAUAUACAUUUCACAAGUCGUUUUAUUGCAACUUUCACCCACCCGAUAAUGCCAUCACCAUGUUGUACCAUUCAUACAUGCAAAAAUCUAUUUUUAUCUGCUUUUCGCUAUUGUAGAUUCCAAUGUAAGCAUUGUUGAGCCUUCUCCUCGGCUGAAAUCGUGCAACUGUAUACAUACUCGUUUGCAAAAAAAGCUGUUAUUUUUUCACUCGUUUACACUUUGUGAAGGUUUGUUUUUUUCGAUUUCGGUCUGCAUCUUAAUAAAGAAAAAUGUCGAAGAAUUUUUUAAUAUGCUCACGAAAAGAUAAAUGUUUUUGUGGUUAGCUAAGUUACAUGCCUACAUACCUACAUACAUAUAUACCCGGAUUCAAUUCUAUUAUGGAGUUCUGGAAGUUUCUUGUUGCUUGUUUUAUUUCGCAUAUUUUUCAUUUUAUGCAGUCGAAUAUUGCUUUUUUCCAACUUUUGUAAAAGAGCACGAAUUUCCAAGGGGAAAAAUUGGGAAGAAGGAGAAAAACAAUUAUAUUUUUUAAUCAAAUGUUGGAUAAUACAAAUGGUCAGGGAUUUAUCUAGAUUAUAGGUCUACAACUUUGCUUCCGCCGUUUUCCAAUAGAUGUCUCUAGGGUCAAGCACUGGUCGAUUAAAUCGAUUUUUUUUUAUAUCCAUCUUGGACAUUUGUGUCAACAUUAACCCAACAAAAUAUUUGUAGAGAUCUGUUUGCAUCCCAAACUUAUUCUCAACAGAAAAUGUCACUUUUGAGCCGCAUUCUCGACGUUUGCGGGAAUGUCUCUAGGGUCAAUCACUGGUCGAUUAAAUAGAUUAAAUCGUUUUAUAUCCAUAGUGGACAUUUGUGUCAACAUUAAUCCAAACAAAUUUUGUAUAGAUCUAUUUGCAUUCCACUUUGAGCCGAAUUCUCAACAUUUGCGGGAAAUUUUGCUCUUCUUUUUUAAUUCCAAGAAAAGUGCACAAAAAAAACUUAUAUUUACAAAACGGCGGAAGUGAAGUUGUAGACCUAAUAUAUAUAUCUAAUAUUACUGUUCAUUUGUCCUGGAAUAAAUUCGGUGUAUUUAACAUAACCUCAAAAUUUGGGAAUCGAAUUGGGGUUUUUUAUAUUUUUGGCUGUGGUUCUUGCAGGGUCUCUUCGGGUGUCUUCUGGUAUAAAACCAGUGUAUUAAUAUUUAUGGAAUUUUGCAUAUUUUCUGUAUCAGCAACUUAAUAUAUUCACUUAUGUAGAUACUCAAUCUAUAUAUACAUAUAUACUCCUAUAUAUAAAUAUUUUAUUGUAUAUAACUUCAAGUAUGUACUUAUAUAUGCAUAUACAUACUUAUGGUCACAGUGUUUAUAAGAUUGUGCAUUUUGUCAGAGAAAAGUUUUCAUCCGCACACAUUAAUAUCCAUAUACAUAUAUAUGUAAGUAUGUAACAUCAACGCUUCGGUUCAUUUUUGCCUCCUCCCUUCACUUUGUGUGCUACACGACAGCUGUUGGAAAGUUCAAUUACUUUUCUAGCAUCAUCAUCAGCAGCAGCAGCAGCAUCAUCAGUGCGGCCGCAGCGCGCGAGGCACAGCAUCCAGUGCACGACAGUAAGCUUCCAGCCUGCCGCCUCUAACUACAGACAUACAAACAUACAUACAUACAUACAUGUGUACAUACACACUACCUUCCAUUUCAACUGCAAUAGCAAGAAGAAGGGUACCUUCUCCUCCUCCUCCUCCUUAUGACGUUCCAGCUGCGCCGCCUUGCACUGCCAACUCAACCCAAACGAUUUUUACGCGGAGUAUUGUUCGUUGUUUGGUCUGUCAUAUGUACUUUGUACAGAUUAUUGUUCGUUUUCUUGUUUUUGUUGUUCUUCUUGUUGUUGCUUUUAAUGCCACCAUUUGUGCUACUUUCUACUUCUACACCUUUUCGGGUGCAGGCUCAUUUUCUAGACUAUUCCAGCCUUUGCAUAUGAGCAGUUGAGCAGGGUAUCAUGACCAGUGGCAGGGAUAGCAACAACAACAACAAAACAUAAUCUACCACACUCGCUAAUGUAUAACCAACUUCAACAACAACUGCGGCUAACUUAUUACAUAACACAAUUUAUAUAUGUAUGUAUAUUAUAUUGGCAAUUGCCAAGCAUUAAGCGUAAACUUGGCAUGUAAUUUUGAAAAAUUAAUAAGAUUUUAUUUACUUUACACUAGUGGUUACGUUUUUUCCCCAAUUACUGCAGCCUAAUUUAGCAAAUAUUCCCACAAAAGUCCGUGAACAGCAUUGAUUCGAACAGCGAUAGUGAGGCAACGAGGUUUCCAAGAACUCCGUUUGAAACUUCCUGCUUAUUCUUUAAAGUUUUUAUAUAUUCUCUAGUCUAUGGCUCCGGGGGGAGCAAAGGACUACAAUGCUAUUCCUUCAUUCCUUACGAUCUUGUGCUCUUCUCUUGAUUUGACUCCAAAUUUUUUGAGCCUUAGAUAUGUCGAUGUCCAAAUUUCUUUUCCAAGUUAGAGUGGGUCGGUAUUUUCUUCGGCUGCGCUGUGGAUUCCAGUCGAUCGCGUUUCGGGUGAUUGUAUCUGAAUCUCGUUUCUGAAUAUGUCUGAGCCAGCGCCAUUUUCUUUUAAGGAUUAGAGGUGUUUGGUUUGUGUGUGACCAUAAGUUCGUGUUAGAGGCGAUGACGGGCCAGUAAAUGCGGCAAAUGUUGCGAAGUUUUCGGUUUGUGAAAACUUUAAACUUUUUGGAGUCAGAGGCUGCGAGAUUCCAUGUUUCACAAUCAUAUAGAAAGAGGGUUGAUUUAAUGUUGGAGUUGAAUAUUUUUAUUUUGGCACAUCGCGUAAUGAUGGAGGAUCUCUAGACCACAGAGAGUUUAGAAUGUGUUUAACCAGUUUUUUAUCCUAAUAUGUGUUAUAUAUUCUAAGUAGUCUUCAAAUCCGGCAAUCUACCUCAGAGCGAUAUCCCGACUCCGAUCUCUCUAAUUUAACCAUAAAUGACGAGUUAUGCCAGAGAUAAAAUACCAGCUAAAACUUACCGAUUCAUACCGAUACUGAUCAUAUGGCAAUUAUUCCCGGGUCAUACUGAAAGGCAACCACAUAUUACUCCGUAUGAAUUUUCUCUGGAAUGUGAGAUAAAAUUGGCACAAGAUUUCUAUAAUUUUGAGCGUUCCAAUCAAAAAUUAAUUAAAGGUCGUCCUAUACGGAAUUAAAAGGAGGUCAAAGCAAAUUAGCUUUUAAGGAUAUUUAAUAACUUUCGUUAAACAAUUUCAUUCGAAAUUUUUCGAACCUGAGAUACAUUUAAUUUGAUACAUUCAUAUUAUCGUAUAGUUCUCGUAGAGUUCUCGAACUAUUCAUCCGUUUAUAUCCUUACUCAUUUACUAUGUUCAGUUUAGAAUACUCCAAACAAAGACCUCUAAAUAAUACUAUCCGUUCAAGCCGUCUGUUCCAACCCUACUAGGAUGUUUAAAUAGGCUAUUCUAGAUUAUUUUGAUGAAAUAAAGUCCUAGUUCAAGUCAAGUCCAGUACUUUUGUAAUUUUAGUGUUCGCAGUCAAGUAUUAUAACUCGUUAAACGGUGUAAAGAAAUUUAAUAAUAGGUGUUAGCGUCUUGUCUUUUCGCACUAGUUCUCUUUCAUUAUUUUUACGAGUUUGUUCAGUUGCAGUCAACAAUUUACUGAUUACUUUGACAUUUAUAAAGACAAAUAUUUUUGUUUCAGUGCCUUUUCAUUUCAUCUUCCUUCCCUGCUUUACGAAUUUCUACUAUAUUCGAGUACACAUCAAUUGCAUACGUGUCGUCUUCAUAUAUAAAUACAUACUAUUACUACACAGCUAAAGUAAUAUAGUUUAAGUACCAUGUGAUUUCAUUGCUUUUAUUUAAAUUGCACUACAGAUCUACACUCGUACAAACGAUAAUACAAAUUAGCAUUGAAAAACACCCGCUUGAUCUUCAAACUGAAUCUCCACAUACUCGCCAAAAUACACAAAGUCCGCCGCCCUUUCACCACCACCUCUACCGUUAACUUAACUUAACGUUUCGCCAUUACUCGCCUCUUGUCACCACUUGAAAUUAAAAUAAUCCAAUUCAAUUCCUCCUCUCACUCAAAUUAACUCAGUCAUUUGUAUAUAUUUUGUUUUUCUUGCUUUUUACACUUUUCGCUUUCAUUUCAACAGCCAUACUUAUCACAUCGAUCGAUCGCUUGUUAUAUGCUAUUCGUACGCAAAUAGUACACAUGUGUUUGCAUCGAUUAUUAUUGAUCGAUCGUGCUGAUCAUCGACAACUUGGUGAACUACAAGUAUUUAGUUCUGUGCGCCUGUAUCGAACAGCUUCUAAUCGCAACAAAGGUGCCAUCAGAAAAUAAAAAUCUAAAUUUAGCAACUAGAAAUAAAUUUACUGUGAAUUCCGUUUCAUUCUAACCAUAUAUGCAUAUGUAUAGCUAUAUAAUGUGUAUUUUUGAAUUGUGCUUUUUGCCUAUAUAAAUACAUACAUAUAGACUAUUUGUACUGAAUAUUUUAUUAAUCAAAUAUUUGUUUUUUACUACUUGUACUAUAUUGCUUGUACUGAAUGUUCAUUAUUCCGUAUAUAUAGUGGUGAUCAGUUGGACUAUAGUACACAUGUUGAAAUAAUAUUUAUGACGCGAAAGUGUUACAAAUGAUUUUUUAAGAGUUAAAAAUUUGUAAAAGUAAAUUUCCUUAUUGAUUAUAAAUAAUUUUCUAUAAAUACUUAUCCACUCAAUUAAAAAAAUACUAACGUGACCAACCUUGACUGAAGCAGUUAGGCUUGGCAAUAACUGCAGAUCAGCCUUAUAAGAACGUUUGAUGAAUGAUAGUUCCAAGAGCCACUUCUAUAAAUUAUUAUGUGAGCCUAAAGCGGAAAUAACCUCAAAAGAUCUAGUUAGAGUAAAGUCCUCUUCUACGGUGCAGAAGCUUGGACGAUGUCAACAUCAGAUGAGACGACACUAGGAGUUUUCGAGAGGAAAAUUUUGCGCAAGAUUUAUGGUCCUCAGAACAUUGGCAACGGCGAAUACCGCAGACGAUGGAACGAUGAGCUGUACGAGUUAUACGACGACAUUGACAUAGUUCAGCGAGUAAAAAGACAGCGGCUACGCUGGCUAGGUCAUGUUGUCCGAAUGGACGAAAACACUCCAGCCCUGAAGGUGUUCGAUGCAGUACCCGCCGGAGGAAGCCGAGGAAGGGGAAGGCCUCCACUCCGUUGGAGGGACCAGGUGGAGAGCGACCUGGUUACACUUGAGAUCUCCAACUGGCGCCGAACUGCGAAGGAGAGAGAGAAGUGGCGCACUAUCGUCGAUUCGGCUAUAACCGGCUAAACGGUUGCAACGCCAAUCACAUACUUACAUACAAUCUUUCCCUACACUCAGCAAUAAGGCCUUGUUAAUACUUAUUCAACAUAUUAAUUCGGAGACUAUUUAGAGGGCAAUAGUCAAAAUUCUGCCAAAUAAUAGAUACUGUGUUCUGAUAUAAUUCAUUUGCUAUCAAUGUGGAAUCCGACAGAUGACUGGUUGCAAGUUUCUGGGUUAAAUGUUCCGAAAUCCUAAAGUCCGUAGAUCUAAUGUCAUUUUCUCUUCUUCCAUCUCUAUCAGAAUAAUCUUGAAAUUGUAUAAUCUUGCUGAAGAAUAAAUAGCUUCGUCAAACGCGUGAAUUAAAAUACUCUUCUGUGAAAAACUGAGUUUAAAGUAUCAAUUUUGAGUCGUUGUCAACAUUUAACCGAAAGAUCCCAACUUUAUAAUCGUUCAAUGAUUGUUAACUUUAAAUACUAUUGUGUUUCAAAAUUGACACCUCAUGUGUCAAUUGCCGUUUUCUAUCAAAAGUAUCUAUAACAAAUUUGUAUUUCAAAUAUAUGUAUGCAUUACAUAUUUUAUGAGUUCUACUAUCUAUUCACCAUGAAUCAAACUGCUGAAUAGUGAAUUGAUGAGUGAAAACUUGCUUUAUAGCCUUUUCACAUAGCAGCUAAUUGAUCAAUUAACCGGCCUCUGCUCAAUCAAAACGCUGAUUAAGAUUGAUUUACUAUACAAAGUAAAAAUCUACAUUAAUUUUCAAUUAAAUUUUAAUCGACUUGAAAAUGAAAUGCACAUCUGCAAGAAAACCGUAUUUGUAUAUCAUAUAUAAACGUUCUUUGUCUGCGAGUUGUUAUUCACGCUUCACGACGAUAGAUGUUGCUGCUAAAAAUAGCAAUCAGCUGAUGAAACUUACCAACUUCUUAUGAAAAGCCAAAA